rnacentral:rRNA from 1 species
UACGUGAGGUCGCAAGCGUUGUCCGGAAUUAUUGGGCGUAAAGAGCUCGUAGGCGGUCUGUCGCGUCUGGUGUGAAAACUCAGGGCUUAACCCUGAGCUUGCAUCGGGUACGGGCAGACUAGAGUGCGGUAGGGGAGACUGGAAUUCCUGGUGUAGCGGUGAAAUGCGCAGAUAUCAGGAAGAACACCCGUGGCGAAGGCGGCUCUCUGGUACGGCACUGACGCUGAGACGCGAAAAGCGUGGGGAGCGAACAGG